UAGCAGAGGGUGCGAGCGUUAAUCGGAAUUACUGGGCGUAAAGCGCGCGUAGGCGGCUUUGCAAGUCGGGUGUGAAAUCCCCAGGCUUAACCUGGGAACUGCAUUCGAGGACUGCAUUGCUAGAGUAUGGGAGAGGGAAGUGGAAUUUCCGGUGUAGCGGUGAAAUGCGUAGAUAUCGGAAGGAACACCGGUGGCGAAGGCGGCGAUCCUGGACCGGCAUUGACGCUGAGGCGACGAAAGGCUAGGGGAGCAAACAGGG
rnacentral:rRNA from 1 species